rnacentral:rRNA from 1 species
GAUAAACGCUGACAGAAUGCUUAACACAUGCAAGUCUAUGUGAAGCUUAAAGCUUGCUUUAAGUGGAGCAUGGCGGACGGGUGAGUAACGCGUAAAGAACUUACCUGCUAGACUGGGAUAACAUAGAGAAAUUUGUGAUAAUACCGGAUAAGUUAGAUAAUCGCAUGAUUAUCAAAUGAAAGAUUGCGCUAGCAGAGAGCUUUGCGUCCUAUUAGCUAGUUGGUAAGGUAAAGGCUUACCAAGGCGAUGAUAGGUAGCCGGCCUGAGAGGGUGAACGGCCACAAGGGGACUGAGAUACGGCCCUUACUCCUACGGGAGGCAGCAGUGGGGAAUAUUGGACAAUGGAGGAAACUCUGAUCCAGCAAUUCUGUGUGCACGAAGAAGGUCUUCGGAUUGUAAAGUGCUUUUAGUUGGGAAGAAGCAAGUGACGGUACCAACAGAAGAAGCGACGGCUAAAUACGUGCCAGCAGCCGCGGUAAUACGUAUGUCGCGAGCGUUAUCCGGAAUUAUUGGGCUUAAAGGGCAUCUAGGCGGCGUAUCAAGUUGAAGGUGAAAAGCUGUGGCUCAACCAUAGUCUUGCCUACAAAACUGUUAUGCUAGAGUACUGGAGAAGUGGGUGGAACUACACGAGUAGAGGUGAAAUUCGUAGAUAUGUGUAGGAAUGCCGAUGAUGAAGAUAACUCACUUGACAGAGACUGACGCUGAAGUGCGAAAGCUAGGGGAGCAAACAGGAUUAGAUACCCUGGUAGUCCUAGCUGUAAACGAUGAACACUGGGUGUGGGGGCUAAUACCUCUGUGCCGAAGCAAAAGCGAUAAGUGAUCCGCCUGGGGAGUACGUUCGCAAGAAUGAAACUCAAAGGAAUUGACGGGGGCCCGCACAAGUGGUGGAGCAUGUGGUUUAAUUCGACGCAACGCGAGGAACCUUACCAGAUCUUGACAUCUACGGAAUAUGUAUGAAGAUACAUAGUGCCUUCGGGAACCGUAAGACAGGUGGUGCAUGGCUGUCGACAGCUCGUGUUGUGAGAUGUUGGGUUAAGUCCCGCAACGAGCGAAACCCCUAUCGUUAGUUACUAACAUUAAGUUGAGGACUCUAACGAAACUGCUAGCGAAGAGCUAGAGGAAGGUGGGGAUGACGUCAAGUCAUCAUGCCCCUUAUGAUCUGGGCUACACACGUGCUACAAUGGGUAGUACAGAAAGAAGCGAAACGGCGACGUGGAGCAAAACUCAAAAGCUACUCUUAGUUCGGAUUGGAGUCUGCAACUCGACUCCAUGAAGUUGGAAUCACUAGUAAUCGCGAAUCAGCAAUGUCGCGGUGAAUACGUUCUCGGGCCU